ensembl:snoRNA small nucleolar RNA SNORD59
UCUUCGAUGAUGAUUGACACAGUGACUUUCGUUCUUCUGAGUUUACUGAAGCCCUUUCUGUCCCUGAGAAGA